UACGUAGGGGGGCCAGCGUUGCUCGGAAUUACUGGGCGUAAGGGGUUCGUAGGCGGUGCGGCAAGUUGGGAGUGAAAUCUCUGGGCUUAACUCAGGGGGCUGCUUUCAAAACUGCCGCGCUCGAGUGCGAGAGAGGUCAGUGGAAUUGCAGGUGUAGCGGUGAAAUGCGUAGAUAUCUGCAGGAACACCCGUGGCGAAGGCGGCUGACUGGAUCGCAACUGACGCUGAGGAACGAAAGCUAGGGGAGCAAACAGG
rnacentral:rRNA from 1 species